GAGUGAUCGAAAGAUGAAAAGCACUUUGAAAAGAGAGUUAAACAGCACGUGAAAUUGUUGAAAGGGAAGCGUUGUCCACCAGACUCGCCCGGGGGGGUUCAGCCGGCACUUGUGCCGGUGUACUCCUCCCCGGGCGGGCCAGCAUCGGUUUGGGCGGCUGGUGAAAGGCCCCGGGAAUGUAACACCCUUCGGGGUGCCUUAUAGCCCGGGGUGUCAUACGGCCAGCCUGGACCGAGGCCCGCGCUUCGGCGAGGAUGCUGGCGUAAUGGUGGUCAACGGCCC
rnacentral:rRNA from 1 species